rnacentral:rRNA from 1 species
AUUGAACGCUGGCGGCAGGCCUAACACAUGCAAGUCGAGCGGAUGAAGGGAGCUUGCUCCUGGAUUCAGCGGCGGACGGGUGAGUAAUGCCUAGGAAUCUGCCUGGUAGUGGGGGAUAACGUCCGGAAACGGGCGCUAAUACCGCAUACGUCCUGAGGGAGAAAGUUGGGGAUGUUCGGACCUCACGCUAUCAGAUGAGCCUAGGUCGGAGUAGCUAGUUGGUGGGGUAAAGGCCUACCAAGGCGACGAUCCGUAACUGGCCUGCGUGGAUGAUCAGUCACACUGGAACUUGGACACGGUCCAGACUCCUACGGUAGGCAGCAGUGGGGAAUGUUGGACAAUGGUCGAAAGUCUGGUCCAGCCAUGCCGCGUGUGUGAAGAAGGUCUUCGGAUUGUAAAGCACUUUAAGUUGGGAGGAAGGGCAGUAAGUUAAUACCUUGCUGUUUUGACGUUACCAACAGAAUAAGCACCGGCUAACUUCGUG